UAGUCAUUUAUUUAAACGUAAAUAAUUGAUAGUAUUAGUAUUGAAUUAGGAAAAAUUUGUAAGAACAAUCCCAACUAUGGGAGGUCUUCCCAUAUUAAUCCCAACUACAAGUUAUUGUAGUAUAAUCUAAACUUUUGAGUAUAUCUUCCUUCGUGAUUCUAAGUGACCGGUGAUCAGAUGUAGGGAAAAAAAAAAUGUGGGUAGGUAUUUAAUUUUUCCUCCAAAAUUAUUUACUUACGGAGUAUAAACAAAAAAUAAAUAAAGUUACAUUACUUGUAAUUAACCUACCCAGCGUGCAAUGUGAAAAAAAAAAAAAGAAAAAAAGAAAUCUUCUAUUUGCUUCAUCCUUCACGCAAUAUGAAGAACAAAUUUCCGAUUCUGUGAUCUACAAUUCUGCAAUUCAAAUAUUUCAAAGGUGACAAACAAGAAAGUUUGUUGAAGUAUAUCCCACCAAAUAACACAUGUAAGAGUCUCACAUUGAUAAAAGAAGAGAGAGUUAAACACUUUAUAAGGCUAAGGGGCUACUCUUCCUAUUGCCAUAUGAUUUUGGGAUGGAACCUCCUUUGGUCUUGUGAAAUGGACUCUCUCUCUCUUGGUUUGCGGGUGCGGCCCAGACCCGUAUUUGACAAGGUGAAAGUAGAAAAUUAAAGAAUUUACAUAUGUGUUUGUUUGUGUCCUAGGUUUAUGUUCUUCACUAUAUCUAAAUGUGAUGCUUAUUUGCUGCUUCAUCUGAAUAACUCGCAUUGGAAUCCAUCCUUGAUUAAUUUUUCUAUUUGAAGGAGAUAACUUAUGUUAAAGUAUUUUGCCCCAGUGUUUUAAGUGUUUGAACACUUACACCUUCUCACAUGUCGCCCAUUCAUAGUGGCGGAUCCAAUAUAGGUGUAUUGUGUAUGGGAUAGGAAUAUGAUUAUACAUUUGUACCCCACAAUUGUUUGAUAAUAAAUUGUUAACCUUUUAUUUA